UACGAAGGGGGCUAGCGUUGCUCGGAAUCACUGGGCGUAAAGGGUGCGUAGGCGGGUCUUUAAGUCGGGGGUGAAAUCCUGGAGCUCAACUCCAGAACUGCCUUUGAUACUGAGGAUCUUGAGUUCGGGAGAGGUGAGUGGAACUGCGAGUGUAGAGGUGAAAUUCGUAGAUAUUCGCAAGAACACCAGUGGCGAAGGCGGCUCACUGGCCCGAUACUGACGCUGAGGAGCGAAAGCGUGGGGAGCGAACAGG
rnacentral:rRNA from 1 species